UACUCUCCAUGCCCCCCACCUUGACAGUGGCAUCAUGAGAGUGCCUGUCCCUUCCUGCAGAGCACCCCUGCUUGGCAGAACUGCUGCAAAAGUGCCCUUUCAUAUGCACUGGGAUGGCUGGAGAUGGACCCUAGUAUAGGCUCCAUCCAUGCUGAGAGAGUGAGAGGGGUUCACUUAGGGCCUGUCAGGACAGCCCUGGCACAUCAUAAAUUUCAUGAACUGAGUUUUAUUUUCAUUCCAUAAUCUGUAUUUCAGAAGAUGUCUGACCUGCAGGAGCAGCAGCAGCAGCUUGGAAUCAUGGCCAAAAUCCCUUGUGAAGUCAGGGGCCUAGCCAGAACUAGGUGCCCACUGUGCACAAAGCUCUUCUCAUCCCCCAAAAUUCUGCCUUGCCUACACACAUUUUGCAUGGCCUGCCUUGAGCAGUUGGAACCCUUUUCAGUGCUCAGCGUCCAGGGGGAGGACUCAGACUCUACCUCCGAGGGGUCAUGGCUCCAAGAUCAUCGUCAGCCACCGCUCAGCAUCCUUUGUCCCAUCUGUGACACUGAGGUGGGUUUGCCACCAGGGGGCACUCAUGACUUGACCACUGACCACCUGGCCAUGAAUGAGAUGCUACAGGAAACCCUUCAGGCACCAGGCCCAGGAAUUCUGUGUGACCUCUGUGUGGAUGGGGAAGCCGUGAAGCACUGUCCCAUCUGCAAAGCCAAUCUCUGCCACUUCUGCUGCCAAGCUCACAGGAGACAGAAGAAAACAGCUUCCCAUGCUGUGGUGGGCCUAGAGGACCCAAAGGGCUACAGCCAGACUGGGAAGCCCAUCCUGUGUCCUUCCCACCCUUCAGAGGAGCUGACGCUGUUCUGCGAGCAGUGUGACCAGCCAGUGUGCCGGGACUGUGUGGUGGGCCAGCACCGUCAACAUCCAUAUGACUUUGCUGCCAAUGUCAUCCACAAGCAUGGGGAUUCCAUGCGGGAGCUCCUGAAGAGUACCCAGCUGCAUGUGGGCACCCUGGAAGGGGCCCUGCGCCACAUCGAAGGGGUCAGCAGUGCCAUCUGCAGUCGUGUGGAGGCUGUGGCUGGGGAGAUCCGCACAUUUGCAGAUGGAUACAUAAGGGCUAUUGAAGAACAUCGGAACCGGUUGCUGAAGCAGCUGGAAGACCUGAAGGUGCAGAAGGAGACCCUGUUGCACUUACAGAAGGUGCAGCUGGAGCAGCUGCUGAUGGACAUGCAGACUGGGGUGGAGUUCACUGAGCGCUUGCUGACCUGUGGCUCAGACCUGGAGAUCCUUCUCAUCAAAGGGGUGGUGGCGAACCGGCUGAGGAAGUUGAAUAAAGUGGAUUAUAACAUCCACCCUGGAGUGGAAGAUGGGAUCCAGUUCUCUCCCCGUGAGAAGGCUGGCCAAUGCUGUGGCUAUGCAGUUUUUGGGACCCUCCUCAAUCGGACAGUUGAUCCAGCCAAGUGUGUCCUGCAAGGGGAAGGUCUCCACAGUGCCCGUCAGAAUCAGCAGGCCAGCUUUACUCUGCUGUGUAAGGACACAUCAGGAGAGCAGAUGGGGAGAGGAGGAGAACCCGUCCGGGUCACUAUCACCCACAAAGACAAGAAGGACUGUACUCAUUGGGUUGUUGCAAAUCAUUGCAGUGUAACUGACUUUCUUUGGUCUCCUUCAUAUGAUACCAUGGCCUCUGACCGCAGUACAAUCAAGCCCAGUGUGUGCGAUAAGAGGGAUGGGACUUAUCACUUUUCCUACACCCCUGAGGAGCUGGGUGCAUACACGAUCUGCAUCUGUGUCAAAGGACAGCAUGUCCAGGGCUCGCCCUUCACUCUGACCGUGAAGAACAAAUUCCGCAAACACCAGGGUGUGUUUCACUGCUGCUCAUUCUGCUCCAGUGGAGGCCAGAAAGCCGCUCGCUGUGCUUGCGGUGGGACCAUGCCAGCCUUCAGCUCUCCAGAGGUGCAUGUGGAUUACAACAGUGGCAUGGACACCCUGCGGUAUGAGGCUCCCUGGUGGUUCCCUCAACCUGUUGUGAUUUGGACCUCACACAAUAGCACAAUGGACAACUUAUCUGAAAUCUUCAACACCAGCUGCAAGCUGAACUCUGAGAAUGUCACAAUGACGGUGGUGUCUGUUCAGCACCACAUUACAGCUAAUACUGCCUAGACCUGUGUAAUUAAGAAUGACAUUUCCAAAGCUACAGGGGACAUCAAAGUUACAGAAAAUAAGCUUGGAUCCCAAAGAUCACGCCACGGCAAUACCACCCCCACAGGAGAUGCAUUAUAUUUCCAGCUGACAAAAUGACCAUCCACAUGCCUUUGUCUAUGUUGGCUCAUUUAGCUUGUUAGGAAUAACUACUUGUAUUAGUGAUAAUAUGUUUAAUUGGCAAUGGGCGGAGAUACUGUAUAACUUUGUAGCUUAUUGGCUUAUGUGCAUAUUUCACUUCCGCUGCUAGACUGAUCAAAUCACUUCUCUUCCGUCCUUCUGCUACCUAUAUAAUCUAAUGUAUGUUUUGGUUAAGUUAGUGCCCACCAGGUUAACCCCCAUAAGUAUUCCACCAGCUGUGUGAACCAAUAAAUCCUCUGCUCGUUUUCACCUGCA